GGUUCCAUAGUGGAGCAGUUAGCACAUCUGCUUUACAUGCAGAAGGUCCUGGGUUGGAGCCA
rnacentral:tRNA from 1 species